rnacentral:rRNA from 1 species
CACGUAGUUAGCCGUGGCUUCCUCCUCAGGUACCGUCAUUAUCGUCCCUGAAGACAGAGCUUUACAACCCGAAGGCCGUCAUCACUCACGCGGCGUUGCUGCAUCAGGGUUUCCCCCGACUUGUGCAAUAUUCCCCACCUGCUGCCUCCCGUAGGAGUCUGGGCCGUGUCUCAGUCCCAAUGUGGCCGAUCACCCUCUCAGGUCGGCUACGCAUCGUCGCCUUGGUGAGCCGUUACCUCACCAACUAGCUAAUGCGCCGCGGGCCCAUCUCAUAGCGGAUUACUCCUUUAAUUGCUACUUCAUGCGAAGCUACAAUCUUAUGCGGUAUUAAUCUCCCUUUCGGAAGGCUAUUCCCCCUCUAUGAGGUAGGUUGCCCACGUGUUACUCACCCGUUCGCCGCUUAGCUUUGUUCCGAAGAACUCCACUCGCUCGACUUUGCAUGUGUUAGGCACGCCGCCAGCGUUCGUCCUCGUAGCCUACGGAGACUAAACUACCUUCGUACGACGU